rnacentral:misc_RNA from 1 species
UAUUAUUAUUAUUAUUAUUAUUUAGAGUUUAGGAGAUGGCGAAUGAUACUAGAUCUAGUCGUAAAGUUAAGGAUGAUGAAAACAGUAAUUCUAAAGGGGUUGCUGGCAAACCGUCAACUAGUUCAGGUGCUGAAACACCGAAUACAUCUGGUCUGAGAAGGUCAGUCAGAGAAACACCAUUAAAGAAAAGUACGAGUCCGAGUCCUCCAAGUACUCGAAAGUCUGAGCGACUUGAGAAGCGGACUCCAACUCCUUCUGUUAAUAGAAAUUCAGAGAGAGUUGAGAAGCACAGUACACCAAGUCCUCUGAGAAGGUCUGAGCGGGGUAAGCAGCAAUCCUCUUCUAGUUCUUCUGGAUCAAAGAAGUCAAAUAAAAGCUCGAGCUUAUCAGUUACGAAGAAAAAGCUAAAAAAGGAGAGGAGUGUGAAACAGUUGACACACGAAACUAUAGAAGUUAGCAAAAGCAAGGGACAGGUUAACAAAGUUGUUCAGGUAGGAAAAAAGAGAUUGGAUGCUCGUGCUUAUAGGGCAUUAUUCAAGCCGCAACAAAACAAAGUUAAUGUGGCAGGUGAUUGCAAAGAGCUGAAAAAGGAGGAUAAGUUAUCUCACGACCACAGUAGCAACCAUCAAGCUGUUGCUUACAAGAAUGUUGAUAGCCGCAACAAAUGCAGCCAAAUGAAGGUGCAGAAGCUGAAGGAAGUCUUUGGUGGGAGAGAUUUCGAAAGAACUUUGGAAGAAUCCAAUUGUAGUGUAAGCAAACCUGCCAAUGAGAUAUUGGAAAAUAAUAUUGGACUGGAGCCUUUCCACUUAAGCCAGAAUCAAAGGCUUGAGGGGGAAGCUCAUCAGUCAGAAGUUGGAGAUGCAAUGGAAGAAUCUAAGGGAGAUGAUUGUGCCCAGUAUUCUUGUCACAAAACGAUGUCCAGAAGGCUUGAUGACGUUGCUGAAAAGGCAAAUAAAGAGUUGCAACCUGAGUCAGUAAAUCAUAUGUUGAAUAACGAGCCAGCAGGUAGCGAAGUUGGAUUGGAGAGUGGUUACAAGGAUACACCUUUAAAAGGGAAAAGGAACACAGUUAACUUGGAUUCUCACAAUGCUGCAGUGGCUUCAAGCAAAGAUAUUUGCACCUCUGUUGCUGAUACAGUCAUUUCUUCUCCAGACGGAAAUGAUUUGGCAGAGACAUGUGCUACAUGUUUUAAGAGGCAAAGGGUCAGCCAUGAUUCAAAACAGCAAGACCUUUGUUCUUGUAAUGCAAAUUUAGACCAGGAUACCCGUGGUAUCUCUUUUGCAGAGGAUAGAAGGGGAAUUGGACUCGGUGUUACCACAGGACAUGCUGAACAAUGCGUUACCGAUUUGAAAUAUAAAGAGUCUGCCGUCGAUUUUCAACCAGAUGGCAAUCAAAAUGCAUGUCUCAUUUGCAAGCUUGGUGGAACGAUAUUGUGUUGUGAGGGAAGGGGGUGUAAAAGAAGCUACCAUCUUUCUUGUCUAAAUCCUCCUUUGAAAGCUGUUCCUCUUGAAGUUUGGUAUUGUCUUGCUUGUGUAAGGAAGAAGAUAAAAUCAGGCGUACAUUCUGUUUCAGAGGGAGUAGAAUCAAUAUGGGAUUAUAAGGAAGUGGAGGAAUCAGAUGGAAAUGGAUUGCCAAAGAAGCAAUUUUUUGUUAAAUACAAAGGUAUUGCUCAUGUUCACAAUCGUUGGGUACCAGAAUGCCAACUGCUUCUUGAAGCUCCUUCACUUGUUUCAAAAUUCAUCCGAAAAAAACAGGUCACAAAAUGGAAGCAGGAGUGGACUGAGCCACGUCGUUUGCUACAAAAACGAUCGGUAGUCUCUUCCAGGCAACAUGAUGAGACUUACAAGGGACAUGCUAAUGAUAUUUCAGAUUGUCAUAAUGAGUGGCUUGUAAAAUGGCGUGGUCUUGAUUAUGAGUUUGCAACAUGGGAGUUGGAAGAUGCUUCUUUUAUGAGUUUGCCAAAAGUUCAGAGCCUAAUGAGAGAUUAUGAAAAACUCCAUGAGAAGGCAAAGAGACGCCGUUUGUCUGGAAUAGAUAAGAAACUCGAGAUAAAAAAAGGUUCAUCAAUCAAAUCAUUGCAGUUGUCAGCUGGAGAUUUGACUGGGUUUGAUAAUAAUCAUCUGGACAUUGUCAACAAUCUUCGUGAACAUUGCAACAAGGGGCAGAAUGGUGUUAUUAUUGAUGAUCAGGAUCGAAUAAUGAAAGUGGUUUCGUUUAUUUCAUCCUUUUCAUCCAAUAUCUUUUGGCCUUUUAUGAUCAUCACAACUUCUACUGCACUGCACUUGUGGGAUGAAGAGUUCUUUCGAUUGGCUCCAUCUGUUGAUUCUGUGGUUUACCAUGGAAACAAAGAUGUGCGAAGAAGUAUUAGGGCAGUGGAGUUUUAUGAAGAAGGAGGGGGCAUAAUGUUUGAGGUUCUUAUAACAUCUCCAGAAGUUAUUGCAGAGGAUCUAAAUGUGCUUAAAUUGAUAAAAUGGGGAGCAAUAGUAGUUGAUGAGUGCCAACGCUCUAGAAUAUUUUCACAUUUUGAACAAAUUAAAAGCUUAAGCGCUGAUAUGAGGCUUCUCCUUGUCAAUGGUCAACUUAAGGACAGUGUCAUCGAGCAUUUGCUGUCUCUGCUUGAUUGUCAAAGUGAUGCAAAUUGCAGUGAAGGUUUGGUAACUAAUUCCAACCUUAAGGUUGGUAAUUUGAAGGAGAGGUUGUCAAAGUAUAUUGUCAAUGUUUCCAAGUCUGACUCUUUGAGAUUUGUAGAGUAUUGGGUUCCUGUACAGAUAUCCAAUGUACAACUUGAGCAGUAUUGUGAUGCUCUAAUUUCAAAGAAAUUGUCACUUUUUUCAUCCUCAAAGAAUGAUCCUGUUGGGUCACUUCGUGAUAUUCUUAUCUCUACUCGGAAGUGCUGUGAUCAUCCCUACAUCAUGGAUCCACCGCUGCAAACUUCAUUGACAAAAGAUGGUACAGUUUCUGACAUUUUAGAUGUUGGAAUUAAAGCGAGUGGCAAGUUACAACUUCUUGAUGCAAUGCUUUUUGAGAUAAGAAAUAGAAGUUUAAAAGUGCUUAUUCUUUUCCAGUCUAGUGGUGGUUCUGGGAAGGAUAAUAUUGGAGAUAUUUUGGAGGACUUUGUGCGUCAAAGGUUUGGUCAGGAUUGUUAUGAACGUGUUGAUGGAUUGGUUUCACCUACAAGGAAGCAAGCUGCUCUAAACAACUUCAAUAACCAGAAAGGGAGAUUCGUGUUUUUAUUAGAAAACCGUGCUUGUUUUCCCAGCAUCAAACUGUCAUCAGUUGAUACUGUUAUCAUAUUUGGUAGUGAUUGGAGCCCACCAAAUGAUUUAAGGAACUUGCAAAGGAUAACGCUUGAUACACAGUUUGAGCAGUUAAAAAUAUUUCGCCUAUAUUCCUGUUUUACUGUGGAAGAGAAUGUUCUGAUCCUUGCAAAGGAAGAUAAGACUCUUGACAGUAAUUUGCAGGGCAUAAGCCGGGCCACUAGUCAGAAUCUGCUUAUGUGGGGAGUUUCACAUCUAUUCAGUAAAUUGGAUGAAUUUCACAGUGGUUGUAGUACCCCCGUCAUCAGUGGAAGUCCCUUGUUUGAGCAGUUGCUUAUCAAAGACAUUAUCCAGGAGUUCUUGACCAUACUUUCUCAGAAUGCCAAAGAAAAAAAUACAAGCAAUUCAUCUAUGGUUUUGAAAGUUAAACAAAAUCAAGGACGUUAUAGUACUGAUUUUCCAUUGCCUGGAGAACAGAAAAUUCAAUCUAGGGAUGAAGAGCUACCCCACAUAUUCUGGAAAAAACUGUUUGAGGGAAAACAACCACAAUGGAAAUAUAUUUCUAGUUCUUCUCAAAGGAACCGAAAAAGGUCUCAAAAUGUUGAUGAUUUAUCCAGGAAACCAGAAGGUGAGGUCAAUGAAGUUGUGAAGAAGCGCAAAAAAGUGGCCAACAUUGAUGUUGAUCCAUCCUCUCUCAAACCUUCUGUAUUUGAAGGGAUUUUGGGAGCUCCAUCACAAAAUAUGCGUCAAUUGAUGUCUGGCUCAACUGUUCGUCUUAAUAAGAGUCAUGCAAACCAUUCUUCCACCGCCCCAAGUUUGGCUAAUAAUUUGUCAGAAGUAUCAGCAGUUAACCUGGCUAAGCUUGAUGAAAGAAUUAUUUCGAAUGAUUCGCAGAAGAGUUUGCAAAAGAACCUCCACCUUCUUUUGAAGCCGGAGAUAGCAAAACUUUGUGAAAUUCUACAACUCCCAGAAGAUGUCAAGGCUAUGGCUCAAAGUUUCCUUGAAUAUGUAAUGAAUAAUCAUCAUGUUAGCAGAGAACCAGAAACCAUUCUGCAGGCAUUUCAGAUAUCCCUGUGUUGGACUGCAGCUUCUCUACUAAAGCACAAACUUGAUCACAAAGGAUCACUUGCGCUUGCACAACACCAUUUGAAUUUCUACUGCAAGAAAGAAGAAGCAGAUUAUGUGUAUUCGAUGUUGCGGUGUUUGAAGAAAAUGUUUUUAUAUCAUACAGGGAAUUUUAAUCUAGACUGCGCUGCAAAAAUUUCUGAAUCAUUAAUUAAUCUUCCUAACAAGGAUUGUUCACAUGGAAGAUCUUCACAUCCAGCACCAUCUAGUGCAAAAAAGGUGAAAGUAGGGUUUGAGGACCUGGGGCAUGGUCAAGAAUUUUUGGAUGAUCGGGUACUUUCCCAUCUUGGAUUGGCACGGCAAGAUUUUUCAAAAAGUAUCAAAGAUGUUAAGAAGAAAUGUGAUAAACAGUUGAGAAAGCUCUUACUGAAGCAAAAGAAAGAAAAGGAGGAACAUGAAAGAAAGUACAAGGAAGAGAAGGCACAACUUGAGAAUAAUAAAAAAACAGAUGCAGCUGUUGUUCGUUUACAUAGUAAUAGUUCAAUGAGAACAGAUAAACUUAAGUUGCUGGACAUUGAAUAUGAAAAGAAAUUUGAAGAAUUUGAGCGCCGGAUGGAGAUAUGCCAUAAAAAUCUUGAGGCAAUUCACCUGGUUGCAAGGAAUGAGUUGGAAGAGGGAAAAGUUUGUUGGGUGGAUGGAGUGAAAUCCUGGGCAAAGAUGGAAUUAAUAAAUAAGCUACCUUCAAAUGAAACUGGACAUAAUCAAGAAAAUGAUGUCUCUUUGAAUUCUCAUUUGAAAGAACAGAAUCCUGAAGGAAACCAGAGCAUGCAAGAUGGGGUGGUUCUGCUGGAAGUUCCUGAAACUGUUAGUUCAAGUGAUGAGGAGGAUAUACGCUCUGGGGAACUGUAUAGAAAUGAGCAGAUUCCUUGUACAGUUAAUUCAGACAUGCUUGAUGGAGAGGCUCCAUUGAGAGCUUCCAGGGCUAUAUGCAUGAGGGAUGGAACAGAAAAUGUUGAACGUGUAAAUUUAUCUUCAUGUGGAGAACAAAUGCUAGCUUCUAAUGGAGCUAAAUUAAAUUUGUCUUCUAGAAAGCUUCCAGUGGAAGUGCUUGAGAAUGUCAGUUCCACUGGCAGCCUGGAGAACAUGGGAGUGCCUGAAAUUGCUUGUAAUGUGACCAUUGAUGAUGGCAACUCCACCAUUAGAGAGAAAGUUGAAGUUCACGCUGUGCCUUCUGAUAUGACUGCUGUAAGCCAGCAAAACAGAAAAGUUUCAUCUGGAGUGCCAGAAAAUGCUUCAAAUAAAUUAGUGGGUGAUAAAACUGGUAAGCAGCAGGAUGGGAAGGUUGUCAUGGGUAAGACUACCUGCAAUCAAAAUUCUGAUUUUUCAGAUAAAGUCGCUGGAGUUAGCCAACAGGAUGGGGAGGCUCCAUCAGUAGUUCCUGAAACUUCUCUAGGUGAAGCCGUCGAGGCUGGUGAAACUGGUAAACAGCAGGAUGGAAAGGUUCUAGCUAAUGAGACUGUUGAUAAUCAAGACUCUCAAUCACUGGAUAGAACUGCUGGAGUCAACCAGCAGGAUCUGGAACUUCCAUCAGGAGUAGUUGAAAAUGCAUCUGGUCAAGUUGUGGAGGGUGCAAGUACUGGUAUGGGGAAUGAUGGGGCUUAUUGCAUGGCCUCAUCCUCCAGUACCAGCGUACACCUGCAGGAUGGAGUGAUUUCAUCUCAAGUGUUAGAAAAUGUUCCUAAAGAAGUAGUGGACGGUGGUAGCAGUGGUAGAGAGGUCAAUGGAGUUCCUGAUGUGGCCUCCUUUAAUGAUACUAGAGUUGUUCAGCAGGAUAGAGUGAUUCCUAUAAUUAAUGAAGUCAAUCAUCCCCAAGAACUGUAUCUGGUAAGUUCACCUGCUAUCCAGCCAGAACCUGCCUUGGCUCAAGAUGUUCCAGUGCCAUUAAAUCAGGCACUUCAAGAAGAAUCUCCUAUUCCAACUGUAUCUGCUAGAUUGCAUGAUGGAAUUGCAUCAGGAAGUGGAAAUAAUAAUUCGCUGCAGCAAGUUGAGACUUCAGUUCCCCAUACAGAUGAUGUUUUAGUUUCUAAUCAAUCUAAUAGCAACACAUCAGUUGUAGAGCAUGUGCAGGAAGUGCCGUUGUUGCCAUCAACAGAUUCUGCUUGUAGUCUUGAUGCCAUGGAUUUUCCUUCAGCUAGUGGGAUUGAACAUCAGCCUGGUCGGGAAGAUCAUAUAACUGGCAACAUGGCUGAUUCUUCAAUGCAAAUAGUGGUGGACCCGGUGGAAUAUUCAAACGAAGUUGUUUCACAUCCUGUAACGCAUCUUGCACAUCAUCUGCCCAGUGAAAUUCCUCUUGGUAGAUCAGGGAUGCAUGCUUCAGACACAAGGACUGUACCAAUUUCUUCAGGAGUUAAUAAUCGUACUGCACAAACCAUACCCCCUUUCCAAGUGCCCCCUCUGCCUUUGUAUCAUGAUCCUCUUCAAAUUGAACUGGAGAGAUUACGCAAAGAAACAGACCAAAUCAUCAAUACUCAUGAGGACACGAAGCUGCGGCUGAAGUCUGAUUGUGAAAAGGAGAUAGAGGAAGUUGUUGCUCAAAUUCGUAGAAAGUAUGAGAUUAAACUUCAGGAGACGGAAUCUGAAUUCAUCCUUAAGAAAAAAGAACUUGACACAUAUCACAACAAAGUUCUUAUGAACAAGAUCUUGGCUGAGGCAUUCAAAUCUAAAUGCAUGGAUGCUAAACCAUCUAGUGCAGCUAGUAAGCAGCAAGGUGCGUUAAUAUUUGUGAUAAAAUUAACAAAAAUAUGAAUAGAAAUCAUAGAACCUACUUAUUUAACAACUCAUUGAUACUGAUGAAUUAGUUUGGGAACCUUACUCAGUUCUAGAUGUAUAAACCUUGCAUGUUUUUAAUACUCUUGAGUACUGGUCUUAUUACUAUCUAGCUCUUGAUCAUUUCUUCCUUGGCAGAGGUGGCCUUAACUUUCAUGCAGCAGCUGAUCCAGCCAUCAUCACAGCCAACUGCACAGUGGAGUGCCAUUGUCACUGGUCUGUCUUCAGCUUUUCCACCUGCAGGUAGCCCACAGAUUGCUGCCUCCAGCUCACGUGGUGCAGCUCCAUCUCUGCAGGGUGUCCAUCAUUCAUCAGAACUUUUCUUAGGUGCCCUAUCAAGGCCACCUCUAAUUAGCUCUAUCUCCCCUGGUACUGGCAAUCUCCAAAUUGGCGGUGAAAUUCGAGCUCCUGCCCCACACCUACAACCUUGCAGACCUUCAGCGUCCACAGUUGCAACAAAUCUUUCCUCUCUUUCAGUUGGGAUGCCUAGUCAACAGAUGCCCAGUAAUACCCCUACAACCUCUGCUGCACCCCCCCAGCUUCCAUUGCGAUCACAGUUGUCUGUAAAUGCUCAUAAUUUUACCCAUCUUCCUGAAACUGCAGGAACUUUGCCAGCUCUUUCAAGCUCAUCUCUAUCUGCAUUCGAGUUUCUGAUGAAUGUACAUAAUCAAACGGAUACAAAUUCAUGUUCACCCUAUGGUUUGAUACUACAAAGGGAUUUGGGUUCUAACUCAGACCUUUGGCUGCCAAAUAAUACAAGGACAAAUGUGGCAUGUCCAACUGAGGUUGUUUGUCUAUCAGAUGAUGAUUGACAUUUGGUGAUGUGUUCCAUAUCUUUGAUUUUGUAUUGAUCAUGAGAUCGUCUGAGCUUCAGUUUCUGGAGCGCAUUUUUUGAGGUCUGCACUUACAUGCUUUUAGGGAGUGUUCCCUGGAUGUGCUAACCUGUGCUGAAUUAACAGUUGUAUAUGGUUGAAUGUUUCCGUUAUUAAUAUCAAGUUCAUUUUUCUUGAUGUAGUUUUAUUUACAUGUAAUGUUCAUUUUUUUCUGCUUUAAAUGUCAGUAGUAUUGAAAAAUAACUGAAGUUACAUGGGAAGAGAAGCAUUAGUUAAUUAUGUCGAGCCGCUCAUCUGAUCCAGUUAGCUUCCAUUUCAGUUGAGUCAGAACAACUGAAACAGAGUGAUAUCUCUCGAAAUACAUGGAGAAAAAAAAAAAAAAA